GUGAACGAUUAAGGGCGCGCGGUGGAUGCCUAGGCUCUCGGAGGCGAUGAAGGACGUGAUAAGCCGCGAUAGGCCACGGCGAGGUGCAAGUAACCCUUGACCCGUGGAUUUCCGAAUGGGGCAACCCGGCCGUCUGGAUGACGGUCAUGCGUUACACGCAAGCGAACGCGGGGAACUGAAACAUCUCAUUACCCGCAGGAGAAGAAAACAACAGUGAUUCCCCCAGUAGUGGCGAGCGAACGGGGAAGAGCCCAAACCGGUACCGUUUCGGCGAUACCGGGGUCAUGGGACCACGCCAUUCGACGAUGAACGAAGUGCAAUUACCUGGAAAGGUAAGCCGUGGAGGGUGAUAGCCCCGUGCACGACAGUGAAUCGAAGAUAGUGGUAUCCCGAGUAGGGCGGGACACGAGGAAUCCUGCCUGAAUUCGCCAGGACCCCCUGGCAAGGCUAAAUACUCCCGAGAGACCGAUAGUGAACCAGUACCGCGAGGGAAAGGUGAAAAGUACCCCGAGCAGGGGGGUGAAAUAGACCCUGAACCCGCGCGCCUACAAGCGGUCGGAGCUGCCUUGUGCAGUGACGGCGUGCCUUUUGCAUAAUGAGCCUACGAGUUAGUCGUCACCAGCGAGGUUAAGGGCUUCAGGCCCGUUAGCCGAAGUGAAAGCGAGCCUUAACAGGGCGUCGAGUUGGUGGCGCUAGACGCGAAACCUUGUGAUCUACCCUCGUGCAGGUUGAAGUCCCGGUAACACGGGAUGGAGGACCGAACCGGUAAACGUUGAAAAGUUUUCGGAUGACGCGAGGGUAGGGGUGAAAGGCCAAUCAAACUGGGAAAUAGCUCGUACUCUCCGAAAUGCAUUUCGGUGCAGCCUGUGGUGUUCUGUUCUAGAGGUAGAGCUACUGAUUGGACGCGAGGGCUUCACCGCCUAUCAAAUCCGGAUAAACUCCGAAUGCUAGAACAUCAAACCAUGGAGUGAGCCCGCGGGUGCUAAGGUCCGCGGACGAGAGGGGAAGAACCCAGACCACCGGCUAAGGUCCCGGAUGGACGGUUAAGUUGAUAAAACGAGGUGGGAUCGCGGAGACAGCUAGGAUGUUGGCUUGGAAGCAGCCAUUCAUUUAAAGAGUGCGUAACAGCUCACUAGUCGAGCGAUCCCGCGUGGAUAAUACACGGGCAUCAAACCGUCAACCGAAGCCGUGGGGUCAGUUUGAAACUGACCGGUAGGAGAGCAUUCCUGCCCGCGUCGAAGGUCACCCGCGAGAGUGACUGGAGCGGCAUGAAAAGCAAAUGUAGGCAUAAGUAACGAUAAUGGGGGCGAGAACCCCCCACGCCGUAAGACCAAGGAUUCCCCGGCAAUGUCAAUCAGCCGGGGGUCAGCCGGCCUCUAAGGCUAACCCGAAGGGGGAUGCCGACGAGAAACGGGUUAAUAUUCCCGUGCUUCUCGUCACCGUAACGCGGUGACGGGGUGAUGAAGGGAUCGCGCGCUGACGGAAUAGCGCGUUGAAGGCCGUACCCUGCGAGGGUGGUAGUCAAGCACGCCACCCGAGGCGAAAGCCGAUAGUACCGCGAGACCCCGGUCGAGUGGAUAGCAUCCCGGCAAUUUACCCCCUAGAAAACCCGCUAAACUUCAAGUGACGAGGACCCGUACUGUAAACGGACACACGUGGUCGGGUAGAAUAUACCAAGGCGCUCGAGUGAUUCAUGGUCAAGGAACUAGGCAAAAUAGUCCUGUAACUUCGGGAAAAAGGACGCUCUAGUGAUAGAGCCGCAGAGUAAUGGCCCAGGCGACUGUUUACCAAAAACACAUGGCUAUGCCAAAUCGAAAGAUGACGUAUAUGGCCUGACACCUGCCCGGUGCCGGAAGGUUAAGAGGAGAGCUCAUCGGCAACGAGAAGGUUUGAAUUGAAGCCCCGGUAAACGGCGGCCGUAACUAUAACGGUCCUAAGGUAGCGAAAUUCCUUGUCGGGUAAGUUC
rnacentral:rRNA from 1 species